CCCUGAACCAAGCCAUUUACAAAGAAGCAAAACUUGACAAAUUAUUUGUCCAUUAUUGGUCAACAUCACAAAUGUAUGUAUACAAAACUCAGUAACAAUAUCAUUCCAGUGUUGUUGCCUUUAAUGCCAUGGAUUCUCUUGUCAAAAAAGUGAAACAUCCACAAGGUUUGUCAGGCCCCUUUUUUUUAAUGUAUGAAGGCGUAUUAAUACCUGGAAGUUCAGUGGAUGCUAUGAGGGUCCCAGUAGUUCAAAUGCUGUCCGAAAAGCCUGAC